CGGGAAUUUUCUGCCCCGUGCUAUUAAAGUAAACGGCCGCGGUACCCUGACCGUGCAAAGGUAGCAUAAUCACUUGCCUUUUUAUUGGGGGCUGGAAUGAAUGGAAUGACGUGAUUUUAGCUGUCUCUUAUUUUUUAUUGGAAAUUGUUGUUUUUGUGAAGAAACAAGGAUGUAUAAAAAAGACAAGAAGACCCUAUUAAGCUUUACUUUUGUAUGUUGUAAAUUAUUUUUGUUUAUAUGAUUUGUUUGUAACAUAAAAGUUUGGUUGGGGCGACCGGAGAAGAUAAGAUCUUCUUUUUUUUAAUAAACUGUAGGUUUAUUUUUUGUUGAUCCGGAGUGUCCGAUGAUAAGAACAAGUUACUAUAGGGGUAACAGCGUAAUUUUUUCAGAAGUUCACAUUGAAGAAAAAGAUUGCGACCUCAUGUUGACUUGUUGUUUCCGUAAUUGUUGGUGUAGAAGCUAUAAAGGUUGGUCUGUUCGACCAUUAAAACAAUACGUGAUCUGAGUUCAGACCGG
rnacentral:rRNA from 1 species